GAUGAAGAACGCAGUGAAAUGCGAUAAGUAAUGUGAAUUGCAGAAUUCAGUGAAUCAUCGAAUCUUUGAACGCACCUUGCGCCCUUUGGCCAUUCCGAAGGGCAUGCCUGUUUGAGUAUCAUGAACACCUCAACUCUCAUGGCUCGCCAUGAUGAGCUUGGAUUUGGGGGUCUUGCUGGCCUGUGGUCGGCUCCUCUCAAAUGGAUCAGCUUGCCAGUGUUUGGUGGCAUCACAGGUGUGAUAACUAUCUGCGCUUGUGGUUUUCCAUCAGAUAACCUUCAGUGAUGGAGGUUCGCUGGAGCUCAUAAACGUCUCCCCUAAGCGGGGACAGCCCUUUGAAUGUUUGAUCUCAAAUCAGGUAGGACUACCCGCUGAACUUAAGCAUAUCAAUAAGCGGAGGA
rnacentral:misc_RNA from 1 species